AGUUUUUAACCUUGCGGCCGUACUCCCCAGGCGGGUCGACUUAUCGCGUUAGCUGCGCCACUAAGAUCUCAAGGAUCCCAACGGCUAGUCGACAUCGUUUACGGCGUGGACUACCAGGGUAUCUAAUCCUGUUUGCUCCCCACGCUUUCGCACCUCAGUGUCAGUAUCAGUCCAGGUGGUCGCCUUCGCCACUGGUGUUCCUUCCUAUAUCUACGCAUUUCACCGCUACACAGGAAAUUCCACCACCCUCUACCGUACUCUAGCUCAGUAGUUUUGGAUGCAGUUCCCAGGUUGAGCCCGGGGAUUUCACAUCCAACUUGCUGAACCACCUACGCGCGCUUUACGCCCAGUAAUUCCGAUUAACGCUUGCACCCUUCGUAUUACCGCGGCUGCUGGCACGAAGUUAGCCGGUGCUUAUUCUGUUGGUAACGUCAAAACAGCAAGGUAUUAACUUACUGCCCUUCCUCCCAACUUAAAGUGCUUUACAAUCCGAAGACCUUCUUCACACACGCGGCAUGGCUGGAUCAGGCUUUCGCCCAUUGUCCAAUAUUCCCCACUGCUGCCUCCCGUAGGAGUCUGGACCGUGUCUCAGUUCCAGUGUGACUGAUCAUCCUCUCAGACCAGUUACUGAUCGUCGCCUUGGUAGGCCUUUACCCCACCAACUAGCUAAUCCGACCUAGGCUCAUCUGAUAGCGUGAGGUCCGAAGAUCCCCCACUUUCUCCCUCAGGACGUAUGCGGUAUUAGCGCCCGUUUCCGGACGUUAUCCCCCACUACCAGGCAGAUUCCUAGGCAUUACUCACCCGUCCGCCGCUGAAUCCAGGAGCAAGCUCCCUUCAUCCGCUCGACUUGCAUGUGUUAGGCCUGCCGCCAGCGUUCAAUCUGAGCCAGGAUCAAACCCUC
rnacentral:rRNA from 1 species